CAGGAGUUCUGGGCUGUAAUGCAUUAUGCUGAUGGGUGUCCACACCAAGUUCAGCAUUGAUAUGGUGACCUCCUAGGAGUGGGAGACCGCCAGGUUGACUAAGGAGGGGUGAACUGGCCCAGGUCAGAAUGGAACAGACUGAAACUCUGGUGCUGAUCAUGGUGGGAUUGGGCACACAAGCCUGACAACACCAGGACACCCUG
rnacentral:SRP_RNA from 1 species